UCAUGUCCCAUUUUGGGAUAUGAAAACAAAGAAAUGUAUACAUGUCUUGUCUUCCAUUCCAGUCUGAUACAAGAUACCAAAUUAAUGGCGAACAUUUUAAUUAGAUCCAUAAAUGAAUCAAGAAACUCUUUUUUUUUAGGUCCAAAUUUUUCUCUUUUGCCGAAAUAUCCAUCCUUUUAGAUGCCUAAUCAAAUUGAAAAUU
rnacentral:lncRNA from 1 species